UGUUUCUUAAAUGAUCGGUGAGCCUGUAACGAUCGCCUCCGGGUGGCUGUAAAACUCCCGUAGCCUGAAAGGGAGUGCCUCAACGCGGUACAUCUGCCCACCUUUGGAAGCAGAUAUCAUCCCGAUGGAUGAUGAAGGUUCAU
rnacentral:sRNA from 1 species